UGGGGAAUUUUGGACAAUGGGGGCAACCCUGAUCCAGCCAUUCCGCGUGAGUGAAGAAGGCCUUCGGGUUGUAAAGCUCUUUUGUCCGGAGCGAAACGGUUGUGGUGAAUAUCCACGACUACUGACGGUACCGGAAGAAUAAGCACCGGCUAACUACGUGCCAGCAGCCGCGGUAAUACGUAGGGUGCGAGCGUUAAUCGGAAUUACUGGGCGUAAAGCGUGCGCAGGCGGGCUUUUAAGCCAGACGUGAAAUCCCCGGGCUCAACCUGGGAAUGGCGUUUGGGACUGGAAGUCUGGAGUGCGGCAGAGGAGACUGGAAUUCCUGGUGUAGCAGUGAAAUGCGUAGAUAUCAGGAGGAACACCGAUGGCGAAGGCAGGUCUCUGGGCUGACACUGACGCUCAUGCACGAAAGCGUGGGGGAGCGAAACAGGAUUAGAUACCCUGGUAGUCCACGCCCUAAACGACUGUCGACG
rnacentral:rRNA from 1 species